rnacentral:rRNA from 1 species
AUGUCUUGUGUGAAAGAGCCAGCCGAGCGCUUUGUAGCAUUUGAAGGGAUGCAGACGGGUAGGAGGUUUCUUGGAUGUGCUAAGAAGGAAGGCAUAAACAGUGGAGUAGUUCAAUGGAUUGAUUUUGAAUGGCCAGACUCAAUGGAGAAGGCAUUGGCCAAGCUAUGGGAUAUGUAUGAGGAGAUUAAGUCAGCUAGGACCAAUGACAAUCUAGAGUGUUCCUUUGCAAUUCACAACCUGACAGAAGAGAAGAAGAAACUACAGGAGAACUAUGACAGUUUGUAUGCUGAUGUGAAUGCUCUUUUGGAUGCCCAGCAGCAGAGGGGUGUGGAGUUAACCAAUCAAAAGGAGCAGAAGCAAUAUCUUGAAGUGAAAAUUGCUGAGCUAGAAACUGUAGUUGGCAACUUGAAGGCAGAGCUGUCAAAGAAAGAGGAGGAGAAGAAGAAACUACAGGAGAACUAUGACAGUUUGUAUGCUGAUGUGAAUUCUCUCUUGGAUGCCCAGCAGCAGAGGGGUGUGGAGUUAAACAAUCAGAAGGAGCAGAAGGAAUAUGUUGAUGUGAAGAUUGUUGAGCUUGAGACUAUAGUGGGGAACUUGAAGGCAGAGCUGUCAAAGACAGAGGAGGAGAAGAACAAGAUGUUGCGAAACUAUGAAACUCUGAAGAACCUGACAUGUGCUCAAGCCAAUGUGAUUAGGAACUUGAAUUUCAAUCAUUUGAAGGAGAAGGAGAGGCUGGCAUAA